rnacentral:rRNA from 1 species
AAACUGGAGGAAGGCGGGGACGACGUCAAGUCAUCAUGGCCCUUACGACCAGGGCUACACACGUGCUACGAAUGGUCGGUACAAAGGGUUGCUACCUAGCGAUAGGAUGCUAAUCUCAAAAAGCCGAUCGUAGUCCGGAUUGGAGUCUGCAACUCGACUCCAUGAAGUCGGAAUCGCUAGUAAUCGCGGAUCAGAAUGCCGCGGUGAAUACCGGUUCCCGGGCCUU